GGUGGGGUGGCUGGGUUUAGCUCUUCAGCUGUGGGUAAUUUUAAGGAAAUUACAUUUAUUUUAUUAGAGCUUUCUUACUUGUUCUUCAGGUGCACAUUGUUUUCUGACUGCUACUGCACCAAAUGUCCUCUCCUUUAUUUAUUGUUUUUUUUCCUUCUUUUGGAUUCUCUUAUUUGAGCAGAUCUAAACAUCCUCUGGUGUUUGUCUUCUUGUAGAGGAAAAUCAAGUGAAAGUUUUGGUACCAUAAAAGAGCUGAUUCUGUUUAAUGCUUGCCUCUGGUUACCUACCCUUGGCAGCCCCUGGUUUCAGUGCCAUGACCCAAGGGGCUGCCCCAUCCAGAGGUCCAGCUGCUCUGAGCACAUCUCCCCCCUGGAAAAUUAACUAUUUCUGGCAAAAACAGCCAGAAUUUUUGAAAUGCUCCGGCUGCUACAGAAACCUGGUUGUGGUUCAUGAAUGGAUGAGCACAAGUGUGACAGGCCAGAGCUGUUCCGGGCUGGGUGACACUCGGGAGUGGAGUUUCUCAUGAGCGCCGAAAGUGGGUCUGAAUAACACCUGCAAAAACAGAGCAACGAUCUUCUGCAGCAGCCUGAGCAGAAGCUGCCAUGGGAAUGGAGCAACCAGGUCAUACCGUACCCCAGGCGGUGCCGUAGCUGGGGGUGCUCACAGGAUUGCUCUGCUGGGCUUGGUGGGACUUCACUUGCUGGUUUUGAAACAGUCCUCAGCCAUGCACGUGUUUAAAUCCCUAAGGGGGAGAGAAAAACACCCGAACCGUUCACACAUCACCUGUGCAUGACAUCUUGCCUCCUAAAUUGGAUUCUCGGGAUGCCUUCAAGUGGGAUGGCCCUUAAAACCAGCAGAGUUCCCCCAGUGCUUUGAGCAAAUCAUGCUGGAAUUUGUUUCCACCCAUGAAUGUCACAUGCAAUCAGCAUGUACGUGUGUCCCCGCCUGACCCUGCAGUGGAUCAAGGAAAGGUGAAUAAGACCUCAGUUAACAUCAGUCACCUGUAACUUCAUGGACCUUUAAGCAACAAAUCAACUAAGUUCUUCAUUGUUCUGACUUCAAGAGAAACCAGCACCCGUUUCUUGCCUUUGAGUCUGUGAGGAUGAAGUUAUUUGCUUUUAAAAUUCAGUGCAUGCUCAUGGUUUUCUUUUUCCCGAAGUAUCUGCACCCGGUGACUGAGCGCCCCAAAUAUUUACUGGCUUGCAGAUGGCACGGUGGGAAAGGCCAACUUCGUUUAUUUCGUCUAGAUCCCCAGGCAAUACACAUCAUGGGCUGCUCUGUUGCCAUUUAAGUAUUUAUAUAGAGCUAUCAGAUGCCUGACCCAUUUCCUUUUAUAUUGAAUAUAUCCCUCUUGCUAAAUGGACGUGGCUUCUUCCACAUCCGUUGCCAUUUAGAGUAACAUCUAACUGUUUGCUGUGAUUUAGGGGGCGGAAUCAUAUUUUGCCAUAAAUAAUCCUCUUGUUAUGAACUUUUCUCACCAUCUGAUGCUCUGAUAUUCCAAGGGGUGUUGCGUUUUCAGAGUGCGAGCCCACACUGCCUUGCUUUGAUAGUUCUUUUGGGAAGCCUGCGUGGGAAGAUGGAAAUUGUAAUAUUCUGAAUUUCUUAGCCUUCAUUAUAUUUUAAUGGAUUUUUUUAUA